rnacentral:rRNA from 1 species
GGAACGUAGACUUUGGUUCGGAACAACCCAGGGAAACUUGGGCUAAUACCGGAUACCCCCUUACGGGGAAAGAUUUAUCGCCGAAGGAUCGGCCCGCGUCUGAUUAGCUAGUUGGUGGGGUAAUGGCCCACCAAGGCGACGAUCAGUAGCUGGUCUGAGAGGAUGAUCAGCCUCACUGGGACUGAGACACGGCCCAGACUCCUACGGGAGGCAGCAGUGGG